rnacentral:ncRNA from 1 species
CUCUGCUUUACUUUGAUCAUAAUUCGUUUUGUUAACUAAAGGAGAACUUCCUUUCUAUUGUAUGCCUAGUAUUGCUCUCUUAUCUCGAGAAAUUAUUUUUUACACCUAUUCACCGCCCUCUAGGUGCUUAUAUUAGCUAUAUCACACGCACAUAGGACAAUUCAAGUAGAAGACAUUGUCAAGUGCGGAGUUUGGUUGGGUCGGCACAUCCAAGAUGAGCUUAACGAGAACAUAAAUCUCGUGUAGAAAAGAAGGGUAAAAGUUCUUUUGAUUCUCAUUUCCAGCACAACUACGAACCGUGAAAGCGUGGCCUAUCAAUCCUUUAGAUCUUUGGAAUUUGAUGAUGGAGGUGUUAGAAAAG